rnacentral:rRNA from 1 species
GCCUAAUACAUGCCAGUCGUACGCACUGGCCCAACUGAUUGAUGGUGCUUGCACCUGAUUGACGUUGGAUCACCAGUGAGUGGCGGACGGGUGAGUAACACGUAGGUAACCUGCCCCGGAGCGGGGGAUAACAUUUGGAAACAGAUGCUAAUACCGCAUAACAACAAAAGCCACAUGGCUUUUGUUUGAAAGAUGGCUUUAGCUAUCACUCUGGGAUGGACCUGCGGUGCAUUAGCUAGUUGGUAAGGUAACGGCUUACCGAGGCGAUGAUGCAUAGCCGAGUUGAGAGACUGAUCGGCCACAAUGGAACUGAGACACGGUCCAUACUCCUACGGGAGGCAGCAGUAGGGAAUCUUCCACAAUGGGCGCAAGCCUGAUGGAGCAACACCGCGUGAGUGAAGAAGGGUUUCGGCUCGUAAAGCUCUGUUGUUGGAGAAGAACGUGCGUGAGAGUAACUGUUCGCGCAGUGACGGUAUCCAACCAGAAAGUCACGGCUAACUACGUGCCAGCAGCCGCGGUAAUACGUAGGUGGCAAGCGUUAUCCGGAUUUAUUGGGCGUAAAGCGAGCGCAGGCGGUUGCUUAGGUCUGAUGUGAAAGCCUUCGGCUUAACCGAAGAAGUGCAUCGGAAACCGGGCAACUUGAGUGCAGAAGAGGACAGUGGAACUCCAUGUGUAGCGGUGGAAUGCGUAGAUAUAUGGAAGAACACCAGUGGCGA